rnacentral:rRNA from 1 species
AGGGUAAAAUCCUGUAAUCCCGGAAGGACGACCAGUGGCGAAAGCGUUUAACUAGAACGAAUCUGACGGUAAGGAACGAAGGCUAGGGUAGCAAACCGGAUUAGAUACCCGGGUAGCCCUAGCUGUAAACAUUGCCCAUUUGAUGUUGCUUUCCCGUUGAGGGAAGGCAGUGUCGGAGCGAAGGUGUUAAAUGGGCCGCUUGGGAAGUAUGGUCGCAAGACUGAAACUUAAAGGAAUUGGCGGGGGAGCACCGCAACGGGAGGAAUGUGCGGUUUAAUUGGAUUCAACGCCGGAAAACUCACCGGGAACGACCUGUGCAUGAGAGUCAACUUGACGAGCUUACUCGAUAGCAGGAGAGGUGGUGCAUGGCCGUCGUCAGCUCGUACCGUAGGGCGUUCACUUAAGUGUGAUAACGAGCGAGACCCACAUCUUUAAUUGCAAAUGUAUAUGGGAAUAUGCAUGCACUUUAGAGAAACCGCCAGCGCUAAGCUGGAGGAAGGAGUGGUCGACGGCAGGUCAGUACGCCCCGAAUUUCCCGGGC